GCUGGCGGCAGGCUUAACACAUGCAAGUCGAACGCAUCCUUCGGGGUGAGUGGCAGACGGGUGAGUAACGCGUGGGAACGUGCCCUUCAGUUCGGAAUAACCCAGGGAAACUUGGGCUAAUACCGGAUACGUGCGAGAGCAGAAAGAUUUAUCGCUGAAGGAUCGGCCCGCGUCUGAUUAGCUAGUUGGUGAGGUAAUGGCUCACCAAGGCGACGAUCAGUAGCUGGUCUGAGAGGAUGAUCAGCCACAUUGGGACUGAGACACGGCCCAAACUCCUACGGGAGGCAGCAGUGGGGAAUAUUGGACAAUGGGCGCAAGCCUGAUCCAGCCAUGCCGCGUGAGUGAUGAAGGCCUUAGGGUUGUAAAGCUCUUUCGGCGGGGACGAUAAUGACGGUACCCGCAGAAGAAGCCCCGGCU
rnacentral:rRNA from 1 species